UGCCUACGGGACGCAGCAGUGAGGAAUAUUGGUCAAUGGCCGGAAGGCUGAACCAGCCAAGCCGCGUGAAGGACGAAGGUGCCAAGCAUUGUAAACUUCUUUUGUCAAGGGACAAAAUCAGGCUCGAGAGCCUGACCGAGGGUACUUGAAGAAAAAGCAUCGGCUAACUCCGUGCCAGCAGCCGCGGUAAUACGGAGGAUGCGAGCGUUAUCCGGAUUUAUUGGGUUUAAAGGGUGCGCAGGCGGUCUGUUAAGUCAGCGGUCAAAGCCCGGGGCUCAACCCCGGCCCGCCGUUGAAACUGGCAG
rnacentral:rRNA from 1 species